rnacentral:rRNA from 1 species
UACGUAGGUGGCAAGCGUUGUCCGGAUUUAUUGAGCUUAAAGGGUGCGUAGGUGGCCCUGUAAGUCAGGGGUGAAAUAUCUCAGCUUAACUGAGAGGGUGCCAUUGAUACUGCAGGGCUUGAGUACAGAUGAGGUAGGCGGAAUUGACGGUGUAGCGGUGAAAUGCAUAGAUAUCGUCAAGAACACCGAUAGCGAAGGCAGCUUACCAAGCUGUAACUGACACUGAGGCACGAAAGUGUGGGGAUCAAACAGG